rnacentral:rRNA from 1 species
AUACGGAGGGUCCAAGCGUUAUCCGGAAUCAUUGGGUUUAAAGGGUUCGUAGGCGGGUCAAUAAGUCAGAGGUGAAAUCUUGCAGCUUAACUGUAAAAUUGCCUUUGAAACUGUUGACCUUGAAUUACUGUGAAGUGGUUAGAAUAUGUAGUGUAGCGGUGAAAUGCUUAGAGAUUACAUAGAAUACCGAUUGCGAAGGCAGAUCACUAACAGUAUAUUGACGCUGAUGAACGAAAGCGUGGGUAGCGAACGGGAUUAGAAACCCGAGUAGUCC